GACGAACGCUGGCGGCGUGCUUAACACAUGCAAGUCGAACGGAAAGGCCCUGCUUUUGUGGUGUGCUCGAGUGGCGAACGGGUGAGUAACACGUGAGUAACCUGCCCUUGACUUUGGGAUAACUUCAGGAAACUGGGGCUAAUACCGGAUAGGAUCUCCUGCUGCAUGGUGGGGGGUGGAAAGUUUCGGCGGUUGGGGAUGGACUCGCGGCUUAUCAGCUUGUUGGUGGGGUAGUGGCUUACCAAGGCUUUGACGGGUAGCCGGCCUGAGAGGGUGACCGGCCACAUUGGGACUGAGAGACGGCCCAGACUCCUACGGGAGGCAGCAGUGGGGAAUAUUGCACAAUGGGCGGAAGCCUGAUGCAGCAACGCCGCGUGCGGGAUGACGGCCUUCGGGUUGUAAACCGCUUUCGCCUGUGACGAAGCGUGAGUGACGGUAAUGGGUAAAGAAGCACCGGCUAACUACGUG
rnacentral:rRNA from 1 species